UCCACUACCAAUCUCCACAACCCAGAAAUCAAUUCUCUAAGUCUAAACCAAAAGACAGAAGCUUAGUUCUUCAUCUCUAAUACCCUUUUCUCUUUUAAAUCCAUUUUUGUAUAGAAAUGGCAUUUGCUCACUUUCAACAGAAGAACGGUUCAGUGGAGAGUUUGUGCAUUGGCCCUAACGAUCCACUCAAUUGGGGUGUGGCUGCUGACUCUUUCAAGGGAAGCCAUCUCGAUGAGGUGAAGCGCAUGGUUGAGGAGUAUCGGAGGCCCAUUGUCAAGCUUGGUGGUGAAACUCUUACUAUUUCUCAAGUGGCUGCUAUUGCUACUCGGGAUUCUGAUGUUAUUGUUGAGCUUUAUAAGUCUGCUAGAGCUGGUGUUAAGGCUAGUAGUGAUUGGGUUAUGGAGAGCAUGAACAAAGGGACCGAUAGUUAUGGUGUUACUACUGGAUUUGGUGCUACUUCUCAUAGAGGGACCAAACAAGGUGGUGCUCUUCAAAAAGAGUUGAUUAGAUUUUUAAAUUCGGGAAUUUUCGGAAGUGGAGCUGAGUCUGAUCAUACUUUGCCCCAUUCAGCUACUAGAGCGGCCAUGUUGGUGAGAAUCAACACUCUUCUUCAAGGCUACUCGGGUAUUAGAUUUGAGAUUUUGGAAGCGAUAACCAAACUUUUGAACCAUAAUAUAACUUCGUGCUUGCCUCUCCGUGGAACAAUUACUGCUUCUGGAGAUCUUGUUCCUCUUUCUUACAUUGCUGGAUUGCUCACUGGGCGACCCAACUCCAAGGCCAUUGGACCAAAUGGAGAACGUAUUAAUGCCAAGGAGGCUUUCCAACAAGCCGAUAUUCCUUCUGGGUUCUUUGAAUUGCAACCUAAGGAAGGUCUUGCUCUUGUUAAUGGUACUGCUGUUGGUUCUGGAUUGGCUUCUAUUGUUCUCUUUGAGGCAAAUAUUUUGGUCGUUUUGUCCGAGAUUCUUUCUGCUAUUUUUGCUGAGGUCAUGCAAGGAAAGCCUUAAUUUACCGAUCAUUUGACUCAUAAGUUGAGGCACCACCCUGGUCAGAUUGAAGCGGCAGCAAUUAUGGAGCACAUUUUGGAUGGAAGCUCUUACAUGAAAACAGCCAAGAAGUUGCACAAAAUUGAUCCCCUCCAAAAGCCCAAACAAGAUCGAUAUGCUCUAAGAACUUCACCUCAAUGGCUUGGUCCCUUGAUUGAAGUGAUUCGAUUCUCUACAAAAUCUAUUAAGUGAGAGAUUAAUUCAGUCAAUGACAACCCUUCGAUUGAUGUUUCCAGAAACAAAGCAUUACAUGGAGGCAACUUUCAAGGAACACCUAUUGGAGUUUCCAUGGACAACACUCGAUUGGCCAUUGCAUCUAUAGGGAAGCUCAUGUUUGCUCAAUUUUCGGAACUUGUCAAUGAUUUCUACAACAAUGGUUUGCCAUCUAAUCUUUCUGCAAGUAGAAAUCCGAGCUUGGAUUAUGGAUUUAAAGGAGCUGAAAUUGCCAUGGCUUCAUACUGCUCUGAGCUUCAAUACCUUGUAAAUCCAGUGACAAGUCAUGUUCAAAGUGCUGAGCAACACAAUCAAGAUGUUAACUCUUUAGGUUUAAUUUCUUCAAGGAAAACAGCUGAAGCCAUUGAUAUUCUGAAACUCAUGUCGUCUACAUUUUUAGUUGCUCUAUGCCAAGCAAUUGACUUGAGGCAUUUGGAGGAAAACUUGAAGAGCACCGUGAAAACCACAGUUAGCCAAAUGGCCAAGAAAGUAUUGACCAUAUCCUCUAAUGAGACACUUCACCCAUCAAGAUUUUGUGAGAAAGAUCUACUCAAAGUCGUCGAAAGAGAGUACACAUUUUCUUAUAUCGAUGAUCUAUGCAGUGCUACUUACCCAUUGAGUCAAAAGUUAAGGCAAGUUCUCGUUGAACAUGCACUCACAAAUGGUGAUAAUGAAAAGGUUGCAGACACUUCAAUCUUCCAAAAGAUUGCUUCUUUCGAGGAGGAACUAAAGGCAAUAUUACCAAAAGAAGUUGAAAAUGCAAGGUUAGCCUAUAAGAGCGGAAAUUCUAAAAUUAAAAAUCAAGUCAAGAAUUGUAGAUCAUAUCCCUUGUACAGAUUUGUGAGAGAAGAGUUGAAAACAAAAAUGCUAACAGGAGAAAAGGUGAUAUCUCCGGGAGAAGAGUGUGAUAAAGUAUUCACAGAUUUGUGUCAAGGCAAGAUGAUAGACUCGAUAUUAGAGUGCUUGAAAGAGUGGAACGGUGCUCCAAUUCCGAUUUGCUAACCCAUUUUACAACACAGGAAACAGCCAACACAGAUCAUGCCUUCAACCAGUAGCGGAUCUAUAAAAUAUAUUGAGAGAGGCAAAAGAAAAAUAUGAAAAAAUAGAUUACAUAGCUAAGAUUUGAACAUGAGUAGAAGGGGGUUGACAAUUAAAGUAACCACUAAGCUAAUGAUAAAUAUUAACAAUCAAAUAGCUUUCUUUAUAUAUAUUAUAUAAAGACAAUAAAGUUGAGGGGGGCUCAAACUCCCCUGGACCUAUGCUAGAUCCGCUGGUGCCUUAGAUAUUUAUUCCAUUUGACUUGUACUUUCUAUUUUUUCCCCUCCUAUCUUAUUUUAUUUUACUAAAUUGAA